UAUGCCACCCCAACAAAUGCAGCCUCAUCCAUCAGCAAUGACAACAAGACCUUACAUGGGGCAACUAGUGCAAACGAACAUGGCAAUGCCAAGGCAUCAAGAAAUUGGGAGCUUUGGUGCUGAGGGAGCCGCUUUUGGCUUCUCAAACUUGAAUCAGCAUCUCUCUGGUACAUUUUCA